AGAGCUGGAUCUGGAGCAGUUAUGUUAAGAGGCACCCAGUCUAUGAGGAGAGGCAGCGCUACAUGGUCAAAAACAACCACUGGCAGGUUUCAGGCUUUGUAAAUCGGAAGAUGGAAAUGGCAAACCCAAUAAUAACAUCUAUUGUGUAUGAAUGUUGAUGCUGCCUGGUAGAUCUCCUUGAAAAUGUUGGACUGAACACCCGUAGCACCUGGGCCAAUUUCAGGAUGCAGACCAGACUUCUGUGAUGUUCCAUCAAGGUGUUUGGUUUCAUCAUCCAAGAGCUGACUGUGAGGAUGACAGCUUCCAAGAUGUCUCAAAAAGAGAACACCAAACUCUGUUCUUGGGCCUAUUGGGAGAGAAUUCUGACCUCUGCAGAGGUGAGUAAAGAAACAGAGAAUUGGGGAGAACUUUCUGUGGAGAAGAUUGUGAACUGCUGAUACAGGACACUGUGCUUCAUCUAGUGUAAAAAUUUUCAUUUUUUCCUGCUCUGAGUUCAGCAGGAAUCACUAGCCAAAGACCUGGUAAUCCUUCUCAAACAUGCAAGCUUUCCAGGCCCUCAGACACAUAAAUUAGAGCUGUCGGUGUUUCAUCUCUUGCCUCUUCCCUUCUUUUCAUUGCCCUACAAUCAAACUUAAGUCGGUGAAAACCAAUGGGAAGGUAGGUAUAGAGACAG